rnacentral:tRNA from 1 species
GCCGUGGUGUCCGAGUGGUUAAGGAGUCUGACUCGAAUUUAGCAGCACGCGAUCCGGGCCAUCAGAUGGGUUCUCCCGCAUAGGUUCGAAUCCUAUCCACGGCG